rnacentral:rRNA from 1 species
UACGUAGGCAGCAAGCGUUGUUCGGAGUUACUGGGCGUAAAGAGUAUGUAGGCGGUUCUGCAAGUUCGGUGUGAAAUCUCCCGGCUCAACUGGGAGGGUGCGCCGAAAACUGCAAGGCUAGAGUGCGGGAGAGGAGAGCGGAAUUCCUGGUGUAGCGGUGAAAUGCGUAGAUAUCAGGAGGAACACCGGCGGUGUAGACGGCUCUCUGGACCGUGACUGGCGCUGAGAUACGAAAGCGUGGGGAGCAAACAGG